UACGUAGGGUGCAAGCGUUAAUCGGAAUUAUUGGGCGUAAAGCGCACGUAGGCGGUUUGUUAAGUCGGAUGUGAAAUCCCUCGGCUCAACUGAGGAAGUGCAUCCGAAACUGGCAGGCUUGAGUACUAAAGAGGGUCGCGGAAUUCCCGGUGUAGAGGUGAAAUUCGUAGAUAUUCGGAGGAACACCAGUGGCGAAGGCGGCUUACUGGUCCAUUACUGACGCUGAGGUGCGAAAGCGUGGGGAGCAAACAGGAUUGAGAUAC
rnacentral:rRNA from 1 species